AGUGAACGCUGGCGGUAGGCCUAACACAUGCAAGUCGAACGGCAGCACCGUAAGAGCUUGCUCUUACGGGUGGCGAGUGGCGGACGGGUGAGGAAUACAUCGGAAUCUACUUUUUCGUGGGGGAUCACGUAGGGAAACUUACGCUAAUAUCGCAUACGACCUACGGGUGAAAGCAGGGGAUCUUCGGACCUUGCGCGGUUGAAUGAGCCGAUGUCGGAUUAGCUAGUUGGCGGGGUAAAGGCCCACCAAGGCGACGAUCCGUAGCUGGUCUGAGAGGAUGGUCGGCCACACUGGAACUGAAACACGGACCAGACUCCUACGGGAGGCAGCAGUGGGGAAUAGGAGACAAUAGGCGCAAGCCUUAUCCAGCCAGACCGCGUGGGUGAAGAAGGCCUUCGGGUUGUAAAGCCCUUUUGUUGGGAAAGAAAAGCAGCAGGUUAAUACCCCGCUGUUCUGACGGUACCCAAAGAAUAAGCACCGGCUAACUUCGUG
rnacentral:rRNA from 1 species